ensembl:lncRNA
GAACAUGAGGUCUAUGUUAUAUUUAACAGCCAUGUUAUUUUAGUUAUUAUCAAUUAUCAAUUAUUAUUAAUUUCAUGUUUUGUGUUAUGAUGUCUAUAUAAUUGUGUGUUAUGCAUGUCAUUGAAAAGAAAAGGUCUGGUUUCUUAAAUCUAAAAACAAAUCAGUCAGCAACCGAGAAAAACUUUGAUCAAUGCCAGCUGUGCUCUUGUUGGUGUAAGGUUUUUGCAUCCCUUUUAGGUAUUACCCUGUUAGUUUAAGUAGUUACCCUGUUAGUUUAAGUAGUUACCCUGUUAGUUUAAGUAGUUACCCUGUUAGUUUAAGAAGUUACCCUGUU